rnacentral:rRNA from 1 species
AUGGACGGCAAGAUUGUGAACAAUGAUAUGAGGAUCAGGAACCAUGCUGUGCAGACUUACAAUGGGCACGAGCGGGAGGUGUGUGGACUUAAGUGGUCAGAAUCAGGCCAGAAGCUGGCCAGCGGUGGGAAUGACAACCUCCUCCACAUAUGGGAUGUGUCUAUGGCAUCAUCUGCACAGUCUACAGGUCGCACCCAAUGGUUACACAGGCUUGACGACCACUUGGCUGCUGUGAAGGCGCUUGCAUGGUGCCCAUUCCAGAGCAACCUGCUGGCAUCCGGCGCUGGCGUAAAUGACCGAUGCAUCAAGUUUUGGAACACACAAACUGGCGCAUGCCUUAACUCUGUCGACACUGGGUCACAAGUGUGUGCACUGCUCUGGAACAAGAAUGACAGAGAGCUGUUGAGCUCGCAUGGAUUCAUGCAGUAUCAGCUCACCCUAUGGAAGUAUCCGUCGAUGGUUAAGAUGGCUGAACUCAAUGGCCAUACUUACCCUGUCCUCUACAUGGCCCAGAGCCCUGAUGGUUGCACAGUGGCAUCUGCUGCGACAGAUGAGGAACUGCGGAUCUGGAACGUUUUCGGGACUUCUGAUGCUCCAAAGGCUACAGUCUACAGGGGAACAAUUAAUAGUUACAAUCACAUCCGCUAG